AAAGCGAUACCAUACGCAUCGAGUGAGCUACUUCCUUCAGUGCGCCUCUGCGUCUACACGUCCUGCAUCUCUUGUCUGCGUGGAACAAUUUGCAUGUAGUUUGGUUUGCACUAGCAUUUAUCUGCUACCAAGAGCGCUGUCGUCAAAUACGGCUGCUGCAUACUCAAGCUUUGCAACUUUGCGCCUGUGCUACAACGGCGUCGGCUCUCAGCGGAUUGGCGCUGCUUCAAGAUUGUUUAUCAAAAGAAUGGCGCAAGGGGUCUCUCUGGGCAAAAACAAGAUCUGAUGACUGGUCGCGUCGCAUCGUCCUAGAAGAAUUCGCGGACAGCGACUGAAGGAAAAUUUUCCGCUUGACCCGGGCUUCAUUUCAUGAGCUUGUCUCUCUUAUGGGAGAUUAUAUGUCACCGAAAUCUGGCUGGGUGUGAGCUGCCUUGUUCCUGGAAAAGAGAGUGGCCAUUGCAUUGUACAAGCUAGCCAGUUGCUGUGAAUACAGGAAUGUUGCAAACCAAUUUCGCGUGCACAAAAGUACUGUAAAAAAGUGUUUUUACAUGUUGUGCCAUGCACUUAAGAAGCAUUACUUGAAGACAUUCAUAAUGCUACCAUCAGCCCAAGAAGGCACAGCAAUAGCCAGAAGAUUUGAGCUCAGGUGCCAUUUGCUCAAAUUUUGGGGGCGAUUGAUGCGACUGGCAUUCCAAUAAUUGCCGCGAAAAAAGGCUACGGAGACUUCGUAAACAGGAAGGGUAGGACAUCGUACAACGUACAAGCCAUAGUGGAUUACAGAGGCCUGUUUCGCAGCAACACUUGCAACGCCUGGAUCAGCGCAUGAUGCCACUGUGCUGAAGUUGUCCAACUUGUACCGGAGGAGCAACGACAUGCUGUCCCAGGAAGAAAGAACCUUGCGUGGCUUCCAGAUACCGUUUUUGCUGCUUGGCAACCCUGCAUACCUAUGUUUGCCAUGGAUUUUCAAAGGCUAUACAGGGGCACUCUCUAAGGAACAGGAGUCAUUUAACGUUUACCACAGUUCAAGCCGCAAUGUAGUGGAACACGCAUUUGGGUGGCUAAAGGGAAGAUGGCGCAUACUUUCAAAAUGUGCAGAUACCAUCUACAAGUUUAUGCCAACCGUAAUAGCAGCGAUAUGUAUACUGCACAAUUUCUGUGAACAAAGGCGGGAAAGCCUCACAGAUGCAUGGCUGUCAUCUCUUUAAGAUACGGAGCAAAACGUCUAUGCACAGCCGUCUAGCAGUCCUCGGGACCUGAAGGCCGCCUAUGCUAUGAGAUACUUUUGAAGCAGUUCAUGACAGAAUAAUUGCCUUUGCGCUGUGAUUCAUGGUAGAACAUUGCUAAAGGCCACUAUGUUAACAAGGCAAUUGUUAACACAUUGUUAACAUGUACCUAAGCAGAAGUACACUGGUCCUGUCUUAGACAACGAACUGCAAUGCACCCAUAAAAGUGAAAGUGGGAAGCAGUUAUUCAUUACUGAACUUGCACCACGUUUGGAGAUGACAUGCUAUGUGUUCAAAUUAUAAGGUGGUUGUGAGGAACAUAAGAAGUUCCUAUGGUCAAGAUUUUCAUUUCACCUUCAAAAUUUCAGAUAAAAUGCGACAAAGUUUGAGAAUAAAAUGUUUAUU